CCACGGAGGGCGCAAGCGUUGCUCGGAAUCACUGGGCGUAAAGCGGGUGUAGGCGGUCUAGCAAGUCAGAUGUGAAAGCCCACGGCUCAACCGUGGAAGUGCAUCUGAAACUGCUAGACUUGAGUGCCGGAGAGGGAAGUGGAAUUCCUGGUGUAGGGGUGAAAUCCGUAGAUAUCAGGAGGAACACCGGUGGCGAAGGCGACUUCCUGGACGGCCACUGACGCUGAGACCCGAAAGCGUGGGGAGCAAACAGGAUUAGAAACCCUAGUAGUCC
rnacentral:rRNA from 1 species